UGCUGCUCCGUCGCAAACUCAUGCACGCACCCUGAUUUUCCGUGUCUUUUUCUUCGUGACAGACCGGGGUGAUGUCGGGAAAGGACAUUUUCCUAUCGUUAAAGGAUAAAGGGUCCGGUUAGCCCUGACCAUUAUCCGUUUCCAAUUCACCAUCGCAAAGACGCUUGCCCGAUCCAUCAAAACUCCGGGUCAGUGCUCUAAAAUGAGUCUCUCUGGGGAGAGAGAGGAGGGGGGCCCUGCCUCUAAAAUGAGUCUCUCUGGGGAGAGAGAGGAGGGGGGCCCUGCCUCUAAAAUGCAUCUCUCUGGGGGACAUGACACCAAAGCUAAGAGACCAAUCAAGCAGGAGAGACCAGCCUCCCCUGUUCCCAGAUGUGUGUCCAUGAAGAGUAACCAGUCUAUG